GGGCUGUCUUUGUGGGGAUUUGCUGCUGCGGCUGUUGCUGUUGGUGUAAAAGAAGUUGCUGUGCAAAAGACAGCUCUUCACACCCGACAGAAGCAGCGGCACCGGCUGUGUAUUAUCAUAAUCCAGUUCCACAAACCGUCCCAAGUUACUCGGUUCCAUCAGUUUACCCUCAACAGCCUGGGUACCAACCUGUAAAUAUCUACCCCCCUCUAUCUGGUAUGGACAUGAAUCCCCCUCAGCCUGGUGUCAGCUUAUACCCCCCUCAGCUUGGUACCAACAUAACCCCCCCUCAGCUUGGUACCAACAUAAUCCCCCCUUCAGCUGGUAUCAACGUGAACCCCCUUCAGCCUGCUACUGACGUGAAGCCCCCACAAACUGAGGUUGGGCCUCCAACAGAUCAGGGACCUCCAACAGCUCCGACAUUCAGCUCCGCGUUCCUCUCCUCAGACGUUGAACCAACGUUUGAGCUGAAAGGAUUCAGCUCUGCUAACCCCCUCAGUUCAGCCACG